ACGACCAACUCUGAGGCCCCGCCUUCCUUUAGGUUUGACUCCGCCCCCUGUGUUGAUGUAGUUACGCCUGACGAGUCACUGGACUCCCCUCUGUCCCCCAGCAAGACGCCCCCCCCCCUCCCUGAGAAGAAGCGACCCAUCCAACAGUACCUGCAGUUCUGUUCAUCCUACACCGAAGGACAGCCAGCGGACAUGUUGUACCAGCUGUCUCUCACCGUCACCGAGCACUACAGCAGCCGACAGCGAGACCUGGAGACCACGUACCAUGUCCCACAGACGUUAGACUCCGCCCCCUCACCUGAGCUGCUUCCCGCUCCAGUUCUACCGCC